ACCCAUGCCAUCUCUUCAUCAAGGGCCAACCCGGAAGCACUUUGUGGUUCUGUGACUUGGCUUUCAAACGGGAUCUUGUUAAGAGAUGGUCACUCAGCAUUUCUUCAACAAGUGACCUGAGACCCGGUCUGCAGCCAUAUAAGGCAGUAGCUUCAAAGGGAUGUGCAUGCAGGAGAGUGACUCAGUGCUGUCCCUGGAUGCGGUGGUGGAGUGAGGAGUCUCUAGGACACAGGAUCCAUCAGCGCACAGACCAUCUAGAGAAUAAUAGCACCGCGACUGUCAGUAGAGAAAAUGGUAUGAAGAUGAGCACCUCACCAAGGCAUGCUGUGGUCAGUUCAAGUGCAGAUGGGGGACAUCUGACAAAUGGCAGCAUUAGGAGGAAAAGACAACAACGGAUGCCCUCAUUCCACCACUUCAGAAAACACUUGAUGCUCUAGUGGAUUUUCUCUGUUCAGAGCUCACUGGCGAGUCUAUUAAUAAUUAUGGCAAAUAGCACCUGUGUGCCAACUCUCCCUCCUAAGUCUAGGAUUAUGGAAGUUUGCAUAAUUAUGGGUGCUGGAGAGAAGACUACCUACACGAAGGGCUGUCCACUUUGCUUCAGUGUUGCUGAUAUUGAUUAUUUUGUAAGAUCAGAGUUACUUCAUGAUUCAAGAAGGAAUGUUGAGGAAAUCCAGAUUGAAGUUAUUUUAAGAGGUUUCUAUAACAAUUAUUGUCAAUUGCUUUAUUGACUUUUCUUAGAGAUACUUGAUAGCUUAAUGUCACUACAUUCUCACGUUUGACCUCAAAAGCCCAAGAUAAUAAAAGCUGGAAGAAAUGUGACCCAGAGACCUCACAGACCUAGUAAAGAACAAAGGGAAGACGAAAGCUCCUUCAGGACCGCACAGCUUCUUACCCCAGCACAACUCGGUGCCUGCCCGCAAAGAACCAUCAAGUUCUUAUAUUCUUGUUUGAGCACAUGGAUGUCACAGGGAAACACAAAGUUGUAGAGUAAAUU